UGACGGAGGAUCCAAGCGUUUGAUCCGGAAUCAUUGGGUUUAAAGGGUCCGUAGGCGGGCCUGUAAGAUCAGUGGUGAAAUCCGGCGGCUUAACCGUCGAACUGCCAUUGAUACUGCAGGCCUUGAAUUAUUGGGAAGUAACUAGAAUAUGUAGUGUAGCGGUGAAAUGCUUAGAUAUUACAUGGAAUACCGAUUGCGAAGGCAGGUUACGUAUCAAUACAUUGACGCUGAUGGACGAAAGCGUGGGGAGCGAACAGG
rnacentral:rRNA from 1 species